UACGAAGGGGGCUAGCGUUGUUCGGAAUUACUGGGCGUAAAGCGCGCGCAGGCGGUCUUCCAAGUCAGUGGUGAAAGCCCGGAGCUCAACUCCGGAACUGCCAUUGAAACUGUUAGACUUGAGGACGAGAGAGGUGAGUGGAAUUCCCAGUGUAGAGGUGAAAUUCGUAGAUACUGGGAAGAACACCGGUGGCGAAGGCGGCUCACUGGCUCGUAUCUGACGCUCAGGCGCGACAGCGUGGGGAUCAAACAGG
rnacentral:rRNA from 1 species